GAGAAAACAAAAUCCUGGGCUCGGGGCUUGGCAGCGACAGCACGAAAAACCUCCCUUCAAUUUUCCAAAGAUUUGCUACCCAGUCUCUGUGUGGUUGAGCAGUACAGCAUGCUGGAUAGGUACCCCGGCAACAUUGUGAGAGUCACCCUGAGAAAAGAAGGAAUUCCACUGCAGUGUCACACUUACUGGUCUUCAGGUCAUGGCUAGGAUCAGGCAACAGGCGGUUCUCCUGUGCUAGCCAUGCCAUACCUGGAGAGAGAGGGAGCCAAGAAGCCAGCUUCUAUGCCCAGAAACAUUUUGCAGCUUGCCUUGCUCCCACCCAUGAUUAUCCUCUCAACCCUGCAUGGUCUCCAAAGAACUGGAAAAGAGUGCAGAACAUAUCUUCCCAUCUUGGGAAUUUUGACAAAACCUCACCGAUCUGCUUCUACUUCUUUUCUGUGAAGUGUGUGCACUUUAUCAGAUGCUUCCUUCGUCACAUGGCUGCACAGGAGUGAUUAUUGGGACACCUCUACUGCUGAUGCACAGCAAAGAUGGCCCAGCACAGCAGCGGACUACACAAGCUGAGAGGCUUAAGAGGAAAGAGCCAGGCUCACUCACAUUGCCAUUGAAGACAACAUCUAUUUGCACAGUGUAAGGGACCAAAUACCAGUGGGAAGAAUCAAGUAUUUUCAGGCUUCUCAGAGGAAUAUUAUAAACAAAGCAGAGUAAAAAGAGAGGUGUAUAAAAUGUCUUGACAGUGCCUUUUAAGUGAGUCGCCAUGUGUUAUUUUAGCCAAGACUUUAUUCAUUUCUACUUAAUGCUGUGUGCUAAAGGUCUCAAAGCUGCUGGCAAUACUCAGUGGAAUAAUUUUAGAGCAACCUUAAUAGAAUGAGCAGAAUAAAGGACUGUUCAAACACAUUCUAGUAGGAUAGCUUUUUAAUAGAACAAGUUAUCCAAAACACUGAUGGCAGAAGCUUGUGGAUGGAAAAAUCUCCCCUGUGUUUAAUUACCCCAGCCUGUCUU